UUGUCUUUUUCCAGCUCCUGGUUUUAUAAAAUGUUGGGCACUUGGGUUAGUAGGACAAUUUGUAGAGAGACAUCCCACAGGUUUAACAAGUGGACGACAAUUAGGGUUAUAACAAGGAGGUAUUUUCCCAUCUCCCGCAGAAGAACGAUAACAACUUCGAGGCAUACUAGUACUAAGCGGUUUAAUACCACGAAAACCCGUUGAAUUCCCACCAGUUUGUCCGGAAGAUGAACCUGUAAAUUGCGUACUAGAACUUGAGGAAGUCCCAAUAGCUCUACUUAAUAGCCGAGCAAGACCUAGUGAGGAGCCAAUAGGAAUAGGUCCUUUUUGCGGAUUUUGAGGACCUUGUUUGAAUGGAACAUGUUUCUGUUGUGGACCAGAAGGACCAGAUACAGUAUUACGUAAUUGAAUAGCUGUUUUAAGAAUCCCUCGACCUCCAGUUCCAGCUAGGGGACGAUAGAAACCAGACUUCAAUUUUAUAAAGGAAUACUUGGAGGCAAAAUCUGGAUUAAUGGAUGUAUUUAAAAAAUCAUUAAAGAAAACCUGAUCUGAUAAAAGCAAUAAGAAAUUGAAUAGAACAGUGAAAAACGAAAACAACUUCAAAUAAUUAAACAUUCUUAAUAAUUGUAAACUUCUUUUAUAAGUGGAAGAAAAGAUAUUGCCGGGGAGAAACAGUUAGAGGGGAAACGCUUUGGCGCCAUAUUACGUAUCUUAUCAAAUUAAAGAGUGAAAAAAUUUGAUUGAAAACAGAACUCAAUUUUUCUUAAUAUUUGCGUUCAUCUUUCCUAUGAUAUUGGAAUUGCUUGCUUUGUGUUAAUUUAUGUCAAAACUUCAUGAAUGUUAUAUUUUUUUUCUAAAGAAAAAAUGCUGUAAUUAACUACCAUUCGAAUCAUUUUUUUUUUAAAUAAGUUUAAGUUGAUGAAGAAAAAUGAUUUCACUAAGUGUUAAAUGAUUGUUACAUGAAAUGUUUGCUUAUAAUUUUUCUCAUUACUUCAGAAACUAAUAACCAUAUGUUUUUAUCAUAAUGAGAUGAUAUUUCUGUGAAAAUUAAUUUAUUUUGACUUAAUUUAUAAUGGUUGAUAAAAUUUCUAAUCACAAAAUAUUUGUACACUAACUUGCUAUUUAGCCUAUUAUUUUUGUAACUUAAUAUUUCAAAAUAUUAUGUGGAAGAGAUCGAUCAACUUUGUUAAUAAUAUAUUGAUAAAUUGUAGCAAGUUCAAUAAUAAGUAUUAUAGCUGAAAUAAGGAACGAUAUUCUGAGAAGAUAAUAUUAUUUAUUAGAUAAUUAUUAAAUAGGUUGAAAUUAUUAUGCUUAAAUCUUGUUGUAAUAAUAAAUUAAAGUGCUUUUUCUUAUAAUUAUUAAAAAGGCUUGUUUAAAUUACAAAUUUUUUUUCGAAAAGCUAAGAAUUUGUUUCCCAAAAAUAUCUAAAUACAGAAAAUAUUAAAUAUUUUGAAUUAAAAAAAUGGUUAAUGAUUUAAAAUAUAAAUUAUCUUUAAGGAGUCUAUAUUGAAUAAUAAUGAUUUAAUUUAUUAAUAUAAAUUAAGAUAUUCAUCAAUUUGAUCCGAAAUCACAAUUAAAAAAAAAGUGAAAAUUUGGCAAUAUUUAUUUUAAUACAGGAUUUUUUUUUCGAAUUACAAAAAUUACAUUAAAUAUUUAGUACUUUUCUCAUAAAGCAAAUUAAAUUAUUUUUAAUAGUUUAUGUUUCUUUAUCAAAAUGAUUAAAUAGUAAUUUAAUUUGUUAUUAAAUAAUCAUUACAUUUACAAGUUUGAAUUCAUUUAUUGUAAUAAAGAUUUAUAUCUAUAUUUUUACGUGUAUAAUAACUAUUUUAAACAUGUAAAUUAGAAUUAGUUAAAUUUAAAUGUAAAAUAUUAAACGAAAAAAAAUAUAUCAAAUUGAUCCUUAAUAAAUCUAAUAAAUCGAGUUCAACAGAUUUUGUUGAAAAAAGUGUGAGAACUAUACUAUUUUCUUAACCUCUGUUUGCUGUGACAUAAUUCCUUUUUUUGAAAUAAAUUUUUUUAAAAAAAAUAUUAUUCAACAAGAGAUGAAACAAAUUUUUCCAUAUUGUUUUUGAAUUAAAUUACUUUUUGUGAAUUUCAGUGAAGAUUUUGUCUAAUAUGUUUGAGCAUUUCAACAAUGGGAAGUUUGUCAGUAAGACAACUUAUUCUUUUAAUUAGAUAUUAUUAUUUGCAAAUUUAUGGAUUGAUACUAAUCAUCUAGCUACUUUAAGGCUUAUAGUUAAUAUUUAUAUUAUCUUUUGAUUUAUUCAAUUAUUAAAUCUUUCUUGACA
rnacentral:antisense_RNA from 1 species